rnacentral:rRNA from 1 species
UACGGAGGAUCCGAGCGUUAUCCGGAUUUAUUGGGUUUAAAGGGAGCAUAGGUGGAUUGUUAAGUCAGUUGUGAAAGUUUGCGGCUCAACCGUAAAAUUGCAGUUGAAACUGGCAGUCUUGAGUACAGUAGAGGUGGGCGGAAUUCGUGGUGUAGCGGUGAAAUGCUUAGAUAUCACGAAGAACUCCGAUUGCGAAGGCAGCUCACUGGACUGCAACUGACACUGAGGCUCGAAAGCGUGGGGAGCAAACAGG